UACGGAGGGGGCUAGCGUUGUUCGGAAUUACUGGGCGUAAAGCGCGCGUAGGCGGCUUUGUAAGUUAGAGGUGAAAGCCCAGGGCUUAACCCUGGAAUUGCCUUUAAGACUGCAUCGCUAGAAUCGUGGAGAGGUGAGUGGAAUUCCGAGUGUAGAGGUGAAAUUCGUAGAUAUUCGGAAGAACACCAGUGGCGAAGGCGGCGACCUGGUCCUUUUACUGACGCUGAGGCGCGAAAGCGUGGGGAGCAAACAGG
rnacentral:rRNA from 1 species